rnacentral:rRNA from 1 species
GGGCGGCGUGCCUAUACUGCAAGUCGAGCGGACUUGAUGGAGAGCUUGCUCUCCUGAUGGUUAGCGGCGUAUGGGUGAGUAACACGUAGGCAACCUGCCUGCAAGACCGGUAUAACCCACGGAAACGUGAGCUAAUACCGGAUAUCUCAUUUCCUCUCCUGAGGGAAUGAUGAAAGACGGAGCAACCUGUCACUUGCGGAUGGGCCUGCGGCGCAUUAGCUAGUUGGUGAGGUAACGGCUCACCAAGGCGACGAUGCGUAGCCGACCUGAGAGGGUGAACGGCCACACUGGGACUGAGACACGGCCCAGACUCCUACGGGAGGCAGCAGUAGGGAAUCUUCCGCAAUGGGCGAAAGCCUGACGGAGCAACGCCGCGUGAGUGAUGAAGGUUUUCGGAUCGUAAAGCUCUGUUGCCAGGGAAGAACGUCCGGUAGAGUAACUGCUAUCGGAGUGACGGUACCUGAGAAGAAAGCCCCGGCUAACUACGUGCCAGCAGCCGCGGUAAUACGUAGGGGGCAAGCGUUGUCCGGAAUUAUUGGGCGUAAAGCGCGCGCAGGCGGUCAUUUAAGUCUGGUGUUUAAGGCCAAGGCUCAACCUUGGUUCGCACUGGAAACUGGGUGACUUGAGUGCAGAAGAGGAGAGUGGAAUUCCACGUGUAGCGGUGAAAUGCGUAGAUAUGUGGAGGAACACCAGUGGUGAAGGCGACUCUCUGGGCUGUAACUGACGCUGAGGCGCUAAAGCGUGAGGAGCAAACAGGAUUAGAUACCCCUGGUAGUCUACGACUUAAACGAUGAAUGCUAGGUUGUUUAGGGGUUUCGAUACCCUUGGUGCCCGAAGCUUAACACAUUAAGCAUUCCGCCUUGGGGAGUACCGGCUCGCUAGGACUGUGAAAACUCAAAAGGAAUUGACAUGGGUG